UCCCUGGUGGUCUAGUGGUUAGGAUUUGGCACUUGAACUGCUGUGGCCAGGUUCAGUCCCUGGUUUGGGAA
rnacentral:tRNA from 1 species